CUGUGAUUUGUUGAGUCAACUCACUGACAUUACAAAAAAUACAUUAUAUUGUAUUAGCUACAUCAGUUAGCAUAAUUUUAAUGAACAUUCUACAUCACCAUGGCAAUCCAGCAUCAGUUGACAGACCAUUCCAAAUUACCAUGGAAAUAAUUGCAUCACAAUACCAGACAGCCAUUGAGAGUGUACUCAUGAGUUUACCAGUCAAAUGAAUGCAGUAAAGAGGUCAAUGGAACACAGACAGUGGGGGAUAGAAUAAGGAUGCAGGAUUGGCGCACAUUCAACAAAUCUGAUAUAACAAAGUAGAUAUUCAUCAAAUCCGUCAUGAUUGAUGUAUUGUAAGUCGCUCUGGAUAAGAGCGUCUGCUAAAUGACUUAAAUGUAAUGUAAAUGUAAAUGUAAUGUAACAGGCCCACAAUAUGGUUACUAAAGUCCAAUUUGGAUAUAUUUGGCUGUUUUUCCUGCAUAACAUUUAGAAGUUGUUCCUUUUCCAGUUUAGAAGAAGUGACUCCUAAAUGCUAACUCCCGUUUGUGUAAGCUGGUAGCAUAGCUAGCAUACAGAAAUUGGUGGUGGCAGUCAAAGUCGUUUUUUAACUGCAAUGCUGUUGAUUGGUGACGAUGUCAAGAAAAUGCUUUGGGGUUGGCAUCUAUAGAAACAUUAUAUUCAGAUUUUUACCUCAACCUAGUGUGAAAUACACAUAUAAACAAUAGCCUAAAUGCAGGAAAAUUUUGCUAGGGGCCAAUGAGGAGAUUUGGGAUCUUUCCCCAACAGCAUAUUUCCCCCGUGUUUCCAUGGCAUUUCCAUUGUUUGGGUCAAGUUCCAUUGACCUCUUUACUGCAUCUUUUGCCAGGGUUAGAGCUUCCAUGCCCUCUCUAUUCAUUAUAUUUCUAUGGUGCUGCCUGCCUACCACAGCUUGAAGUUCCAGUGAGAUGGGUUAUUAUGAUGUAAGAGGUAGAGGAACAGACGACCUAUGAAAUGAUCUCUGUCUGCAUGCAUUAACAUUGUCAUAUUUUUCAAAGAAACGCACAGGCAAGCCAAGCUCCACCAAAGAAAAUAUUUGCAAGGCCGAAGACCUUAGGGACGUUGUUCUAAAGGUAAUACAAUCAGGCGACCUCUAACCCAAAAGACACCUGGUCUGUAUGUAACUGUAGAAGUUUGAAAUGAAUGAUGUCCUGUAGAUAUUGUCUCCUACUGCUGAUACUGGUGCACUCAAUCUAUCAGCCAACAACAAUAAAGCAAUGGACUGAUUUCAGUUAUAAAAGAUUUCAAUUUUUUGCACCUAGGGUUUACUGAGGGUUACUUAUUAUAAUCAAUCAUAAAGGUAUCUUAAAAUACAGUCGAAAUAAUUGUAACAUGUUAAAAUUGACUAAAAUGACCCGUCAUUAUACAAUAAGGCUUUUUGUCAAAUGACUUUUGCCUAAUUGAUAUAGAAGACAUAAGAACAAAAGAACAAUCAGGUAUAACAGUCUUUUUUUAUUGUCUAUUCCAAGCCAUUAAUGAACAUUCCUCACUGUUUGCACCACUAUAAAAGGCCAAAACUUUUCAUCCAUUAUUUUUUCGUAUAGUUAAGGAAAGGAUAUGUGAAAGUCUAAAUUAGAUCAUUAUUGAAUGCUAUUACAAAAAAACAUUUUUAAUAUUCAUCAGCCUCCCACACAAAGACAAGACUAUUCAUUCCAUUCAACAUUUCCAAUGUCACAUUUUUUGCUCUGUUGUCCAGUUUUGUUUCCGGUUUUCCUAUACUCAUCCCUCAAAUUUCGCUGGCUUUCAUCUCACCACAAAUACUGCAAACACAGGCUGCCCUUCUGCAAUGACAUAUGGGGCACAAAGACUCAGUGGGGCACACUGCAUCCAUGUCUCACAUCUCUUCCUACAUGUAUCUCACUCCCCCUCUCUACACUUGAGUGGUUGUAUUUCCUUUUGGUUAAUCGGAAACUCCUUUGCCACAACAGGCAUUUUUAUAUUUAUCUUCAGAAGCCUGUGUUGGAGGUUUUUUUUCGGAUCAUUAGGGACUUCACAUUUAUAUUAGCUUCAGACCAAGUCUACAGCCUGACUUAUUGCCUCACCGAUUGCCUCAGGAAUCUGGAUGUCGCCAGUCAGGUUCAAGUUCUUUUUUAAUUCGCAGUCACUUUGCACUUCAACGGCAUCCUCUGGCUUGUCAAUGCCGUUGACACAUUCCUUUUGCUGUGGCUCCGGGGCAGACACGGCAGCCGGCUCGGCUGCCUGCUCCUGACACUCCCCAUUGACCUCAGGGGCAGAAGGCUCAGCAGUAGCCUCCACUGCGGAAACAACUUCCUUGUUGUCCAGCACAGCCUCCUCUUGCUCAGCGCUGGCCUCCUCUGCAGCCGCAGGUGCAGCAGAUUCUGAAAUGAUGAUCUCCGGGAUGGGUUCUGCAAUGUCGGCAGCCUCAGGCUCUGCUGCUUCAGUUACUGCAUCAGCAGCUUCAGAUUCAAGCUCUGCUACGGAUUCUUCUAUAGGUAGGGGGAGCUCUUCAGCGGCUGGUUGUGGGAUGGAUUCUGCCUCUGGCUCUGCGGCUGCCUCUGUGGCUGACUCUGACACGGCUUCUGCAACUGAUGCAGGCUCCUCCUCCGGGGCGGAUGAAGCUGCUUCUGCCUCUACUGGUGCCUCGACCACAGCCUCAGGUUCUGGGGCCUUCCCUGUAACAGUCUCUGUUUCAGGCUCUGGAGCAGCAGGCUCUGGUUCUGUAGUGUCUGUAAUCUCUGCUGUCACCUCUGUGGCUUGUUCUGUAGCCUCAGAAGCCUUUUCUGGUACUGCAGCUAGCUCCACAGAGGCUACCUCAGGCUCUUCUGGUGCAGGCUCUUUUGGUGCUGCCUCAGGCUCUUCUGGUGCAGGCUCUUUUGGUGCUGCCGCAGGCUCUUCUGGUGGAGGCUUUUCCACUGCGGGCUCUUUUGGUGCAGGUUCUUUUGGUGCUGUUGCAGACUCUUCUGGUACAGGCUCUUCCACUGCAGGCUCUUUUGGUGCAGCCGCUGGUUCCUCUAGUGCCGCUGGUUCUUCCGGUGCCUUUGUUUUAUCUGGUGCUGCCGCAGGUUCCUCUGGUGAUGCUGCUGGUUCCUCAGCUGCUGCAGGUUCUUCCGGUGCUGCCACGGGCUCUUCUGGAGCUGCAAGCUCUUCUGGAGCUGCGGCUGGUUCCUCUGCUACUGCUGCAGGUUCUUCCGGUGCCACCGCUGGCUUUUCUGGGGCUGCAGGUUCUUCUGGUGCUGCAGCUGACGCUGGGUCCUCUGGUGCUGCAGCUGGUUCUUCUGAAGCCACUGGUUCCUUUGCUGCUGGCGCUGGUUCUCCAGGUGCUGCCACGGGUUCAUCUGGUACAGCCGCUGGCUCUGCGGUGGCCCCCUUGGCCACUGCCUCUAUAGCUGACAGGGCCUCUUCUGUCGCUUCUGUGAUGGCUACCGCUGCCGACUCCACUGCUCCCUCCACUUCAGCAGACACCUUAGGAGCAGUCUUCGCUGCCAACUCAGCGACCGGAGCUGGUGCUUUGCUCUCCACGGCAUGGGCCACGGCCUCAACGGCACUCACAGCAGCCACAGUAAUCUCCUCCUUCUUGUCCUUUGGGUCGCUGACAUCGUACCCCUUCUUCCUCUUGCUCAGCUUGCCUCCCAUGGUGUCUCCUAAAAAUGAAUAAUAAAAUCAGAAUUACUUAACAAGUGUGAUAGGUUGUUGCGUUUGAAAAUAUAUGCAUAGCAUACAUCCGUUUCCUUUAACUACAAACCACAAACCUCAAUACCAAGUUAAAGCUGAAGAAAAUGCAAGGCAUUGCAAUCCU
rnacentral:lncRNA from 1 species